CCAAACUUGGUCAUUUAGAGGAAGUAAAAGUCGUAACAAGGUUUCCGUAGGUGAACCUGCGGAAGGAUCAUUAAUGUGUUCAUUCCAACUGUGCGCUUUCGGGCUGCACGUUAGUAAACACCUUUCCACACCUGUGCACCUUUUCGGUGAGCAAAGGUUAAAUUACCACUGCUCAUCUGUAUCAUAUACAUCAUCAGUCAUUGUAUGUUUUGUUGAUUAUACAAUACAACUUUCAGCAACGGAUCUCUAGGCUCUCGCAUCGAUGAAGAACGCAGC
rnacentral:misc_RNA from 1 species